rnacentral:rRNA from 1 species
GUGGAUCGAUGAAGACCGCAGCUAAAUGCGCGUCAGAAUGUGAACUGCAGGACACAUGAACACCGACACGUUGAACGCAUAUUGCACAUCGUACCUCCAGUACGAUGUACACAUUUUUGAGUGCCUAUAUUUAUACAUUCAACUAUACGUGUGCCUCCCUCUCGGGGGCGUGCGCGCACGUAUGCAUAGUGAUGUUUUCCCGCCUUCGGUGCGCGGUAAAACAUUCAAGAUAGUCAGACGCGACGGUGGCCGGCGUGCCAGUCGUCGUCGUGGUUGAUGAGUACAUCCCAAACCGGAGUCUCAGUGGCAGUGAGCCUAGUACCCCCGUGUGUGAGUUGUGCGGUGCGGUGUUGUGGAAUUAGGCGCGUGCGCGGGAGCGCACGCGCGGCCCGGCGGGGCUUUUUCCGACGACACACAACGACACCCGCAACGACGAACCACACACGGCAGCGGGGGAACAGUCACCUGAACUCUCAGUGUGCUCCAUCACAUCAGCCCAGUCUAGUCGCAAGUCAAGUAUAUAUCAGUAGGCCUCAAAUAAUGUGUGACUACCCCCUAAAUUUAAGCAUAUUAAUAA